rnacentral:rRNA from 1 species
AUACGUAGGGGGCAAGCGUUAUCCGGAUUUACUGGGUGUAAAGGGAGCGUAGGUGGUAAUGCAAGUCAGAUGUGAAAGCCCGUGGCUUAACUGCGGGAUUGCAUCAGAAACUGCGUUACUAGAGUACAGGAGAGGUAAGCGGAAUUCCUAGUGUAGCGGUGAAAUGCGUAGAUAUUAGGAGGAACAUCAGUGGCGAAGGCGGCUUACUGGACUGAAACUGACACUGAGGCUCGAAAGCGUGGGGAGCAAACAGGAUUAGAUACCCUGGUAGUCCACGCCAUAAACGAUGAAUACUAGGUGUCGGGGCCCAAAGGGCUUCGGUGCCGGCGCAAACGCAUUAAGUAUUCCACCUGGGGAGUACGUACGCAAGUAUGAA